GACGAACGCUGGCGGCGUGCUUAACACAUGCAAGUCGAACGGAAAGGCCCUGCUUUUGUGGGGUGCUCGAGUGGCGAACGGGUGAGUAACACGUGAGUAACCUGCCCUUGACUUUGGGAUAACUUCAGGAAACUGGGGCUAAUACCGGAUAGGAGCUCCUGCUGCAUGGUGGGGGUUGGAAAGUUUCGGCGGUUGGGGAUGGACUCGCGGCUUAUCAGCUUGUUGGUGGGGUAGUUGCUUACCAAGGCUUUGACGGGUAGCCGGCCUGAGAGGGUGACCGGCCACAUUGGGACUGCGAUACGGCCCAGAAUCCUACGGGAGGCAGCAGUGGGGAAUAUUGCACAAUGGGCGGAAGCCUGAUGCAGCAACGCCGCGUGCGGGAUGACGGCCUUCGGGUUGUAAACCGCUUUCGCCUGUGACGAAGCGUGAGUGACGGUAAUGGGUAAAGAAGCACCGGCUAACUACGUG
rnacentral:rRNA from 1 species